UUGCGAGGUUUCGAUCGACAUUCCAGGCGAUGAAUGUCUAUCGGGACAUCGCAGUGAUUGUCACGGGCUCGAGGAGAGUACCGGGUCGUGACAUUAACUUUGUUGGUCCCUAUAACAUGUGCUAGAGGGGGGUGAAUAGCACAAUUUGGCUCUUAACAAUAUUGGAAACUAAUUUCCAGAACUGAAGAAAAUAAAAAUAGAGUACAAGAUGCACAACAAUUUAGAGUGGUUCAGUCCAA
rnacentral:lncRNA from 1 species